GCUGUCUUGGCCGAGUGGUUAUGGCGAUGGUUUUAAGUUUCUCAAGCUAAACACCAUUAUCGAAAGAUGCAGGAGUUCGAACCUCCUAGACAGCA